rnacentral:lncRNA from 1 species
CAUCCCCAUCCCCAUCCAUGUCCCCACCAACCCAUGUGGGUGCCCUGUCCCCAACCCCACUGACCCACAUAGGUGCCACGUCCCCAUCCCUGUCCCCACUUUCCCACACGUGUGCCCUGUCCGUGUCCCUGCCCCCAUUCCCACCAACCCAUAUGGGUGCCAUGUCCCCAUCCUUGUCCCCAUGCUGCCGACCCACAUGGGUGCCAUGUCCCCAUCCCAUCCCUGUCCCCACCGACCCAUGUGCCAUGUCCCCAUCCCUACUGACCCACAGGGAUGCCACGUCCCCAUCCCCACCCCUGUCCCCAUGGACCCACUUGGGUGCCGUGUUCCCAUCCCUGUAUCCAUGCUACCGAUCCAAAUGGGUGCCCUGUCCCCAUCCCCAUCCCCAUCCCCAUCCCCGUCCCCACCACCCCACAUAUGUGCCCCAUCCCCAUGCCGCUGGCCCGUGCGGAUGCCACGUCCCCAUCCCUGUCCCCACUGACCCAUGUGGGUGCCAUGUCCCCAUCCCCGUCCCCAUCCCCACCGACCCACAGGGAUGCCAUGUCCCCGUCCCCAUCCCUGUCCCCACUGACCCAUGUGCCACGUCCCCAUCCCUGUCCCCCGUGCCACCGAUCCACAUGGGUGCCCUGUCCCCAUCCCCAUCCCCACCGACACAUUUGGGUGCCGUGUCCCCAUCCCUGUGCUGCUGACCCACAUGGGUGCCACGUCCCCAUCCCUGUCCCUGUCCCCACCAACCCACACGGGUACCACGUCCCCAUCCCUGUCCCCAUGCCACUGACCCACAUGGGUGCCACGUCCCCAUCCCCGUCCCCAACAACCCACAUGGGUGCCACAUGCCCAUCGCCAUCCCCACCAACCCAUAUGGGUGCCAUGUCCCCAUCCUCACCGACGCACUUGGGCGCCACAUCUCCAUCCCCAUCCCCACCGCCCCACAUGGGUGCCCUGUCCCCACCCCUGUCCCCACCACCCCACACAUGUUCCCUGUCCCCAUGU